rnacentral:rRNA from 1 species
CGGGUGAGUAACGCGUGAGGAACCUGCCUCAAAGAGGGGGACAACAGUUGGAAACGGCUGCUAGUACCGCAUAAGCCCACGGCUCGGCAUCGAGCAGAGGGAAAAGGAGCAAUCCGCUUUGAGAUGGCCUCGCGUCCGAUUAGCUAGUUGGUGAGGUAAUGGCCCACCAAGGCAACGAUCGGUAGCCGGACUGAGAGGUUGAACGGCCACAUUGGGACUGAGACACGGCCCAG